GGCGUCGACCGGCGCACGGGUGAGUAACGCGUAUCCAACCUGCCCACCACUUGGGGAUAACCUUGCGAAAGUAAGACUAAUACCCAAUGACGUCUCUAGAAGACAUCUGAAGGAGAUUAAAGAUUUAUCGGUGAUGGAUGGGGAUGCGUCUGAUUAGCUUGUUGGCGGGGUAACGGCCCACCAAGGCGACGAUCAGUAGGGGUUCUGAGAGGAAGGUCCCCCACAUUGGAACUGAGACACGGUCCAAACUCCUACGGGAGGCAGCAGUGAGGAAUAUUGGUCAAUGGACGAGAGUCUGAACCAGCCAAGUAGCGUGCAGGAAGACGGCCCUAUGGGUUGUAAACUGCUUUUAUAAGGGAAUAAAGUGAGUCUCGUGAGACUUUUUGCAUGUACCUUAUGAAUAAGGACCGGCUAAUUCCGUGCCAGCAGCCGCGGUAAUACGGAAGGUCCGGGCGUUAUCCGGAUUUAUUGGGUUUAAAGGGAGCGUAGGCCGGAGAUUAAGCGUGUUGUGAAAUGUAGACGCUCAACGUCUGCACUGCAGCGCGAACUGGUUUCCUUGAGUACGCACAAAGUGGGCGGAAUUCGUGGUGUAGCGGUGAAAUGCUUAGAUAUCACGAAGAACUCCGAUUGCGAAGGCAGCUCACUGGAGCGCAACUGACGCUGAAGCUCGAAAGUGCGGGUAUCGAACAGGAUUAGAUACCCUGGUAGUCCGCACGGUAAACGAUGGAUGCCCGCUGUUGGUCUGAAUAGGUCAGCGGCCAAGCGAAAGCAUUAAGCAUCCCACCUGGGGAGUAC
rnacentral:rRNA from 1 species